CAAUACGAGAGCGGCAGACGGGAGAGUAACACGUGGGAACGUGCCCUUCGGUUCGGAAUAACUCAGGGAAACUUGAGCUAAUACCGGAUACGCCCUUACGGGGAAAGAUUUAUUGCCGAAGGAGCGGCCCGCGUCUGAUUAGCUAGUUGGUGAGGUAACGGCUCACCAAGGCGACGAUCAGUAGCUGGUCUGAGAGGAUGACCAGCCUCACUGGGACUGAGACACGGCCCAG
rnacentral:rRNA from 1 species